rfam:Trichosporon asahii var. asahii CBS 8904 unplaced genomic scaffold scaffold00034, whole genome shotgun sequence.
CCCGGCUUCGGCCGGGCAAUAUGAUAAAUUUGGAACGAUACAGAGAAGAUUAGCAUUUCCCCAGCAUAUGGAUGAAACAAGUAAUUGUUCAGAGAGGCGACCUUCGGGUCGAAUUAUUUUU